GUUUGAUCAUGGCUCAGAUUGAACGCUGGCGGCAGGCCUAACACAUGCAAGUCGAGCGGAAACGAGUUAUCUGAACCUUCGGGGAACGAUAACGGCGUCGAGCGGCGGACGGGUGAGUAAUGCCUAGGAAAUUGCCCUGAUGUGGGGGAUAACCAUUGGAAACGAUGGCUAAUACCGCAUAACGCCUACGGGCCAAAGAGGGGGACCUUCGGGCCCCUCGCGUCAGGAUAUGCCUAGGUGGGAUUAGCUAGUUGGUGAGGUAAGGGCUCACCAAGGCGACGAUCCCUAGCUGGUCUGAGAGGAUGAUCGGCCACACUGGAACUGAGACACGGUCCAGACUCCUACGGGAGGCAGCAGUGGGGAAUAUUGCACAAUGGGCGCAAGCCUGAUGCAGCCAUGCCGCGUGUGUGAAGGAAGCCUUCGGGUUGUAAAG
rnacentral:rRNA from 1 species